UUCUGAUCCAGCGAUCGCCAUAUUCAUUACUGACUCCAAAUAAUCCAAAUGCAUACUAGUUUCCAGCUGCAUAUAUACGACCUUUUUUAUGUUCCCCAAAACAGCAACCGUCAACCAUGAAAGAGCUGACUCCUCUAGUGAGUUUAAAUCCAACAGCAUAUCAGACUCAACAAUCCCAGCUGUACUACAGCAAACGAAAUCUUUAACU